CCACAAAUUGCAAGCACAGCCAGUAGAAGAAGCUGAUAAAGAAACCUCUCAAAGCGCAGUUCAGCAACAGCCCAAAGUUGAUAUAGAAUCAGUCAAGUAGGGAAUUGGAAACGUACUCUACCAAGUAGUACCAAGUACCAACUACCAAGUUCCAAUAUUAAUUCGAUUCUUAUGUUGAGGCGCGGCCAAACUGCCGCGGGAUCAUCCUUCUGCCACCGGAGACUCCCGAGAUGAGGCGAGGGGAAUCGAAGGCGGCGACGAGGGGCGCAAAUCGAUCGUCGUCGUCGUCGUCGUGGAAGAGCAGAUAUAUUGGAUAUGGCUUAGUUCUUGGCUUCGUGUUGGUGCUGCUCUACUUGAUGGUCAAUGCGCAGUUCAGCAACAGCCCAAAUGCUUAUUUAGGCCCAGCAACAACUAGUAAAACUGAAUCGAUUCCUGCUACAACAUAUCAAGGGAAUCAAGCAUGGCAAGAAGAUGGGAGCAGAGGACUGGAGGAAGGCCACAGGGAGGAGGUAGCUAGUACACACACGGAACGAUCAACAGGCCAACGUCAAGAGAAAGAUGACGAAAGCGAGAAGCAACGAACAGAGAAAAAUUCAAUCGAGGAACAAUUAGGCAACGACAGGAGCUCUAACUACUGGGAGGAAGGACGCCAAUCCGAGAAGAAGGAUACGAUAGAAUUCAGUGAAUUCGGAGGAGGAACGGACGACUUCAACAAUGUUGCCAACACCAAGCCGAUCUGCGACACGUCGUUCGGCAAGUACGACAUCUGCGUGCUCGACGGCGACACGCGAGCGCAGGGAGGCGGCGGCGCCGGCGCCGCCGUGGUCACCCUGGUCUCGCCGCGCGCGGCGCCGCGGGAGUGGAAGAUAAAGCCCUACUCCCGGAAGUACCUCGACGGCCUCAAACCCGUCACGGUGAGGUCCGUCCCCAACCCGGAGGACGCCCCGCCGUGCACGACGCGGCUGAACGUCCCGGCGAUGGUGAUCGAGCUCGGCGGGCUCACCGGCAACUACUGGCACGACUUCACCGACGUGCUCGUCCCGCUCUUCAUCGGCGCGCGUCGCUUCGGCGGCGAGGUCCAGCUCCUCGUCGUCAACCUGCUGCCCUUCUGGGUGGACAAGUACCGGAGGAUCUUCAGCCAGAUCUCGCGGCACGACAUCGUCGACCUGGAGAAGGACGACGACCGCGGCGUCGUCCGCUGUUACCCGCACGUGGUGGUCGGCUAUGGCAGCCGCAAGGAGUUCACCAUCGACCCCUCCCUCGACGACACCGGCGGCGGCUACACCAUGGUCAACUUCACCGAGUUCUUGAGGCAAUCCUACUCGCUCCCGCGUGACCGGCCGAUCAAGCUCGGUACCAACCACGGUGCACGGCCGCGGAUGAUGAUCCUGGAGCGGACCAACAGCCGGAAGCUGAUGAACCUCCCGGAGGUCGCCGCGGCCGCGCGAGCGGCGGGGUUCGAGGUGACCGUCGCCGGCGGCCGUCCGACGAGCACCUACGACGAGUUCGCCCGGGAGGUGAACUCGUACGACGUGAUGGUGGGCGUGCACGGCGCCGGGCUGACCAACUGCGUGUUCCUCCCCACGGGGGCCGUGCUGCUGCAGAUCGUGCCGUACGGCCGGCUCGAGAGCAUCGCGCAGACGGACUUCGGCGAGCCGGCGCGAGACAUGGGGCUCCGGUACAUCGAGUACGACAUCGCCGCCGACGAGAGCUCGCUGAUGGACGUGUUCGGCAAGGACCACCCCAUGAUCAAGGACCCCGUCGCCGUGCACUUGAGCGGGUGGGGAAACGUGGCCGAGUGGUACCUCGGGAAGCAGGACGUGCGGGUCAACAUUGAGCGGUUUAGGCCGUUUCUGACGCAGGCGUUGGAGCACCUGCAGUAGCGAUCCUUUUUCUCGAUGAACAAGCAAAAAUGUAUAUGCAUAACACGACGAAUUACAGGACCUCUUGGACUACUUCGUAUAGCAGAAGGAUUGCGUAAUAUGUUAUCAUGGACUACUUCAUAUAGGACCUCUUGGACUACUUCGUAUAGCAGAAGGAUUGCGUAAUAUGUUAUCAUGGACUACUUCAUAUAGCAGGAGGGUUGCGUAAUAUGUUAUCAGCACGACGUUCUACCGGAGACCGAGAAAGAAGAAGGUAGAGAAAUCUCUUGAAUCCCCUUGCAUCUUGGACAUUGAAUUGCAAAAAAGAAUUGCUCGCAUCCUUCCGAUUCCGUUUUUGUGGUUUUUGUUGGAUUCCAUCACUGCCGACUGGGAGUCGCCGGCGAAUGCCGAUUGACGGAGUUACCACCACCGGCCGCCGACUGCCACGAACAGCGCCGGCCCAAACCACACUCGUACUCACGUUGGCCGCCGGCCGCGCUGUCCUGGCUGCGGCCCCGCCGACCGUUGAGGCUUCGCCCGCGCUGGGCCUCGUUUGCACCGAUGCCGCCGCGACCGCCGCAUCGGCCGGUUGCACAGGGAAGGAGAAGGAAUCGGAGAAAAGAAAAGGAAGAAGUGUUAGUAAUAAGUCUAGCUGCUCAGAGUAGUUAGUUUCCCUUUGUUUUUACGUUGAGUCUUGCACAUGAUCUGUUCAUCCUGUUUGUGUGCAUAGUGGGCUUGACGCACGCUGCGUUCGUGCGGAGUCCGUGGUGUCGUGCGUGGUGUGCUCCAGUUCGUGGGAUGACGCGAAGUGGCAAGGAGUGUGGCACGCACAAUUAGGAGGCCACUAUGGCCACGUUUAACUUUCUUGUAAUUUGCUAUUUAAGGUUAAGCUCUAAUCCAGAAAAGCUGCCAGUUAAUGCAGCGCCAAAA